GACGAAGGGGGCUAGCGUUGUUCGGAAUUACUGGGCGUAAAGCGCGUGUAGGCGGUUGUCCAAGUUGGAUGGGAAAGCCUUGAGCUCAACUCAAGAAAUGCAUUCAGGACUGGAUGACUAGAGGACCGGAGAGGAUAGUGGAAUUCCCAGUGUAGUGGUGAAAUACGUAGAGAUUGGGAAGAACACCAGUGGCGAAGGCGGCUAUCUGGACGGUUUCUGACGCUAAGACGCGAAAGCGUGGGGAGCAAACAGG
rnacentral:rRNA from 1 species